CCUACGGGAGGCUGCAGUGAGGAAUAUUGGUCAAUGGCCGCGAGGCUGAACCAGCCAAGUCGCGUGAGGGAUGACUGCCCUACGGGUUGUAAACCUCUUUUAUCGGGGAGCAAAGAGAGUCACGUGUGACUCUUUGUAAGUACCCGAAGAAAAAGGAUCGGCUAACUCCGUGCCAGCAGCCGCGGUAAUACGGAGGAUCCGAGCGUUAUCCGGAUUUAUUGGGUUUAAAGGGAGCGUAGAUGGGUUGUUAAGUCAGUUGUGAAAGUUUGCGGCUCAACCGUAAAAUUGCAAUUGAUACUGGCAGUCUUGAGUACAGUUGAGGUAGGCGGAAUUCGUGGUGUAGCGGUGAAAUGCUUAGAUAUCACGAAGAACUCCGAUUGCGAAGGCAGCUUACUAAACUGCCACUGACAUUGAUGCUCGAAAGUGUGGGUAUCAAACAGGAUUAGAUACCCGGGUAGUC
rnacentral:rRNA from 1 species